CCUACGGGUGGCUGCAGUGGGGAAUAUUGCACAUUGGGCGCAAGCCUGAUGCAGCCAUGCCGCGUGUGUGAAGAAGGCCUUCGGGUUGUAAAGCACUUUCAGCGGGGAGGAAGGCGUUAAGGUUAAUAACCUUGGCGAUUGACGUUACCCGCAGAAGAAGCACCGGCUAACUCCGUGCCAGCAGCCGCGGUAAUACGGAGGGUGCAAGCGUUAAUCGGAAUUACUGGGCGUAAAGCGCACGCAGGCGGUCUGUCACGUCGGAUGUGAAAUCCCCGGGCUCAACCUGGGAACGGCAUUCGAAACUGGCAGGCUAGAGUCUUGUAGAGGGGGGUAGAAUUCCAGGUGUAGCGGUGAAAGGCGUAGAGAUCUGGAGGAAUACCGGUGGCGAAGGCGGCCCCCUGGACAAAGACUGACGCUCAGGUGCGAAAGCGUGGGGAGCAAACAGGAUUAGAUACCCGGGUAGUC
rnacentral:rRNA from 1 species